rnacentral:rRNA from 1 species
GACGAACGCUGGCGGCGUGCCUAAUACAUGCAAGUAGAACGCUGAAGAGAGGAGCUUACUCUUCUUGGAUGAGUUGCGAACGGGUGAGUAACGCGUAGGUAACCUGCCUUGUAGCGGGGGAUAACUAUUGGAAACGAUAGCUAAUACCGCAUAACAAUGGAUGACACAUGUCAUUUAUUUGAAAGGGGCAAUUGCUCCACUACAAGAUGGACCUGCGUUGUAUUAGCUAGUAGGUGAGGUAAUGGCUCACCUAGGCGACGAUACAUAGCCGACCUGAGAGGGUGAGCGGCCACACUGGGACUGAGACACGGCCCAGGCGCCUACGGGAGGCAGCAGUAGGGAAUCUUCGGGAAUGGGGGCAACCCUGACCGAGCAACGCCGCGUGAGUGAAGAAGGAUGUCGGAUCGUAAAGCUCUGUUGUAAGUCAAGAACGGGUGUGAGAGUGGAAAGUUCACACUGUGACGGUAGCUUACCAGAAAGGGACGGCUAACUACGUG